rnacentral:rRNA from 1 species
CAGGAGUGGAGCCUGCGGCUUAAUUUGACUCAACACGGGAAANCUCACCCGGCCCGGACACUGKAAGGAUUGACAGAUUGAKAGCUCUUUCUUGAUUCSGUGGGUGGUGGUGCAUGGCCGUUCUUAGUUGGUGGAUCGAUUUGUCUGSUUAAUUGCGAUAACGAACGAGAYCCUAGCCUGCUAACUAGUC